rnacentral:pre_miRNA from 1 species
GAAGAAGCUUGCUAAACAGCUGAGUGAUUUAAAGCUAUCGGAUUCCUUUAGCUUUAAGUCAUGCAGCUGUUGAACAAGCUCUGGC